GACGAACGCUGGCGGCGUGCUUAACACAUGCAAGUCGAACGGACCAUCGGGUUAGUGGCGAACGGGAGAGUAACAAGUGGGUGAUCUGCCCUGCACUUUGGGAUACGCUUGGGAAAUUGGGUCUAAUACCGCAUAGGACUACGGCAUACGUGUGCAGAGGUGGAAGGCUUUGGCGGCGUGGGAUGGGCUCGCGGCCUAUCAGCUUGUUGGUGGGGUAAUGGCCUACGAAGGCGACGACUGGUAGCCGGCCUGAGAGGGUAGACGGCGACAAUGAGACUUCGAUACGGAGCAGACUCCUACGGGAGGCAGCAGUGGGGAAUAUUGCACAAUGGGCGCAAGCCUGAUGAAGCGUCGCCGCGUGAGGGAUGACGGGCUUCGGGUGGUAAACCUCUUUCGCCAGGGACGAAGCGCAAGUGACGGUACCUGGAGAAGAAGGACCGGCCAACUACGUGCCAGCCGCCGCGGUAA
rnacentral:rRNA from 1 species